UUUAUUUUUUCUCUCGCCAAAAAAAAAACACCCUGACUCUCUCUCUCUCGCAAGUCGCAAAGGCGAUUAAACGGUGUGAUGAGUCGGCGAAUUCCGACGAAUCUUUCAAUUCUCUCUGUUCGCUAUCAGCCACCGUAGCACCACCACCACCACCAGUUCCACAAUACAUCUCAAGCGACUCUCCAAAGAUCAGAAACUUCUGGUUUCCAUCGACUAUCAUCAUGACUUUUGCCACUUCUAUUCUCACUCGUAUCUGAAUGGUAUUAAGCUCUCUGUGCUUAUUACUGCUUAUGUUUUCCUUCAUUGAUGAUACGAUACUUAGAUUUUACCAUUGGGCUUGUGUCAAAGUCUUCCCUAUGUAGAAACACAGAGAACAAAGCUACUAUUAGUCUAUUAGUGAGAUUGUUUCAGCUGUGAAUGGUGUCUCCGUUGGAUCUUGUGUGAUCUUGUGUUUGAGUGUAGCGUUUUCAUCAUUCUACAAGGAGGUGGUAGAGAUCCUUUUCGGUGGUGGCAUGUUUCAGUCCAACUUCUUUGGUCCUAGCAUGAAUCUUUUUGUAAAUCUACUUGAUCGUAGAACAGUCGAUGGUUGUGUAUCCUAACAAAGAAGAAGCUUUGAUUUUCUUUUGAUUUUGCUCUGUUUCCGAUUUUAUAUUCAUGUCUCUGAAUCUGUAUGUGGUACUGAAACUGAAUUGCUCAUGUGAUGGUUGCAUCAAGAGGAUUUACAAGACUAUCUCUAAGACUAAAGAUUUGAUAAAGGCAGUCCAUGAAGAAGUAAAGCUUUUUCUCCUACCAUUACUUCAUGUGACGUUUUUUAGGAACAGAAGUUGAGUGGUUAUAAAACUAAGGUUUUUUGUCUUAAUUCGUAGGAAUAUUUAUUGUAAUAGUUAUCAUAUUGUUGAUACAAUUGCAGGACGAGGUUUGUAUAGAAACAGAGGAAUGGAUUAAGCA